rnacentral:rRNA from 1 species
GAUGAACGCUAGCGGCAGGCCUAACACAUGCAAGUCGAGGGGUAGCAGGAUUAAGCUUGCUUAAUUGCUGACGACCGGCGCACGGGUGCGUAACGCGUAUGCAACCUACCUUAUACUGGGGUAUAGCCCGGAGAAAUUCGGAUUAAUCCCCCAUAGUACUAAUGAAUCGCAUGGUUUAUUAGUUAAAGCAUUGCGGUAUAAGAUGGGCAUGCGUCCUAUUAGCUAGAUGGUGAGGUAACGGCUCACCAUGGCUACGAUAGGUAGGGGGACUGGGAGGGUGGUCCCCCACACUGGUACUGAGACACGGACCAGACUCCUACGGGAGGCAGCAGUGAGGAAUAUUGGUCAAUGGGCGCAAGCCUGAACCAGCCAUGCCGCGUGAAGGAAGAAUGCCCUAUGGGUUGUAAACUGCUUUUAUUUGGGAAUAAACCUCUUUACGUGUAGAGAGCUGAAGGUACCAAAUGAAUAAGCACCGGCUAACUCCGUGCCAGCAGCCGCAGUAA